CAUACAAACAUACACACAUACAUACACAAAUACACAUACACACACACACCACAAACAAACAUAAAGAAACCAAGACACAGUCCCUCCCAAAGAUAGCAGGAUCCCUGUUGCAGGCCUCCUAAGGAUAGCAGGAUCCCUGUUGCAGGCAGGUUGGGUCAUGGAGAUAGAAGGCAGCUUAUCUUCCUGUUGUUUUGUAUCUGUUUCUCAUGUCCCUGGGUGCCAGCAAUCCCAACCUUUCUCUCUUGGAGUUUUGUCUCAACAGCCUGAGAGCCUGGGCCCUGGGUCCAGGCAGCAGGCUGUGUAGUCAAGGAGCUGACUCCUUCUUGCUCAGGGCCUGGCUAACAGGAAUGUCAGGGUAGCUGUGCUGCCACACUGCCACCCAGGGCAAAUCUCAGACAGAGCCUUUGCAGCCAAGUUCAACUCAUCUUGAAAGAUGUCUUUAUUUUAUGUGUAUGGAUGUUUUGCCUGCAUGUAUGUCUGUGUACUACAUACAUGACUGGUGCCCACUGAGGCCAGAAAAGGGUGUCAGGUCCCCUAAAACUGGAGUUCCAGAUGGUGGUGAGCUGCCCUGCGGGUGUCCAAGAACAUUUACCAAUACCCCUAACCUUUUCCUUUGUUGCUUUGUUUGUGUCUUUCUUCCAAACCCUGGCACUGAACAACAGACUGACCAUCAUCAUGUCAGCCCUGUCAUGCAUCCUGCAGUCUUGGGACUGCCUUGCUCUAUGGGGUCUCCUUCGACCCUGUGCCAGCUGACAAGGAGGACCACAGAUAGCCAUCAGCACAGGGAGAUUUAGCAUGAAAAUGUGAGUGGCUUUGAUGGAGCAUGUCCAAACUGAACACGAAGUGCUCUUGAAGGAAGCAGUUCAUAUCUGCUAGUUCAUGAAGUCUGACCUGGGUAUCACUAUCAAGGAUUGCAGAGUUGGACUGAAAAAAGAUCUGUGCCACCUCGAUUGUUUGUUGAGCACCUGAGGCACACCACACCCACCAAGUAUCCAGGGCCCUGAGGAAGAAAAGGAGGAUGCCACUCACCAAGUCCUUGGAAGAGACAGUCUCAGAGCGAACGGUGGGCAAUCCCAUUUCCUGGGUGGAGAGCCAAAGGAAACGGAACUGUAUUAAAGACACUUGUGUUCAUCACAGAACACUUCAUAAUGACAAAGACACUGGUGCAACCUGCGUGUCUGUCAGCUGAUGAGUGUUCAUGAUAACAGAAAGUUUAAAUACGAUAAGGAAAAUAUUAUACACAUACACAAUGGGGUACUAUUCAACUCCCAAACUAAAGCCCCGUCAUUUGUGACAAUUAUAUUGUGGUAUAAUGUUGUACAGUUUGACUAUCAAUAACAGCUGCCGCAUACUGUGUAUCCCAAGAAGCAAGAAGAACUUUGAGUGUUUUCUCCAUGAAGAAAUGAGAUUGAUCGAGGAGGUAGAUAUGCCCGUAUUAUUGUAUUGAAACAUGUGGUACCUUAUGAUGGUGCACGACUUUAAGUGUCAGUUAAGAUGUAAAUAAAUAUUAAAUGAACUAGAUUUGUAUCGUCAUGUUAAGUGACAUAAGUGCAGUGGAGAAAACUAGAGGAAGAGAAUUAGAACUGAAGGCUGGGCAUGGGCGGUGACUCUAAAACAGGCAUCUCUAGUGAGGUGGCAUGUGAACAGUGACAUUUGCGGCAGUGAUGGGAAGACAGUCCAGAUAGAAGGAAUAGCGAGCACAAAGCUCUCUGCUGCACUGGCCAAACCUGUUGAUGAAUUAGCAAGAAAGUCAGCGGGCCUGGUGACUAGCAUCUGUAACCACAGUGCUUGGGAGGCUGAGGCGGGAGUUAGAGGGUUGCUUGGGUUACAGAGUGACACUGUGUUUCAAAAAGAAACAAAGGGAGGAAGGAUGAAAGGAAAGAAGGGAAAGCCAGAAGGUCCCCAGCUGUAAAGCUGCAUGUGAUGGAGAGGAUGGAAGAGCUCAGCCAGUCUGGACCAGUGAUGCUGAUGUUGGGAUGAAAGGACCAUGUAGAAACCGCUGCGUUGAAGAGUGACCAUAAGCAGGGAGUUAAGCACCAGCUUUAGGAGGCACCACCUCCCGCAUCAGGUAAAGGCUGGGCUGCAAAACGCUCUGACCUUGAUCCCGCAGACCUGGCUUUUCCAGUACCCAUCAUUACUUUCUGCUGAGCAAUGGAAAGACUGGUCUAGAAGGCCUUCUCCUGGCCUGAUCCUUCACUGGACCAUCAGCCCAUCUUUGAGGCCUCAGCCUGACUUCCAAGAGCAGCACUGGGUGAAGUACAGUGGGCACACCGGGAUCCAACACACACACAUCACAGAUCCAACUGAACUUCGGUCCAAGCCUUAGUGUGUCUUGGGUCGACUCAGAACUGAGUAAUGAUCACUCAUGACUCAACAAAACCCACUUUGGAAUCUGGAUGCCCAAGAGAGGAGCUUCAAGCACCUUAUAAAUAUUAAUUAAAAGACAGCAUCCUGAAAGACUGGUGUAAUUACAAAAGAGCUUACCUGGGCUUGCUCCAGUGGCUUCAGAGAGUUGUACUUGGACCAGUGGUUAACAAUAGCAAGCUGCCACCGUCUCACGAGCAGCACAGAAGGCUGGGCAGGUUCUGAGCCCUCCUUCUGCAUGGUGACAUGUGGACAGUUAUUUUCCACACUUUUCAGAUGGGCUUCUAAGAUCCAGAGUUUCUUUCUGGGUUGGAAACCGAUAGAACAUGGACUCCAUUCAAGAUGCUUAGAAUACGACUGACCCAUUCUAUUUCCACAUAAUUACCAUUUAUAACCGCAUGAUUCUUUAUGGUUUACAAAACACUUAAGCAUGUACCAUGUAUUUGUUUGUCACGAUACCUCACUGAGCAGGAAGCAACACUUCCGCUUUACAGGUGAGCAGAUGAGGGCCUAAGGAAGAGCACAUGCAGCUCUCUCAAGUUCUUGUGCAAGCCAGUGUAACUCACAUCUGUUCCAUGGUUUGUAGUUUACGGCGUGCCUUAUGAUGUUGAACAUUGAAAUGGCUCUGUGA